CUCGAAAGAGUGGCUAAUACCGCAUACGCCCUACGGGGGAAAGGGGGGGAUCGCAAGACCUCUCACUAUUGGAGCGGCCGAUAUCGGAUUAGCUAGUUGGUGGGGUAAAGGCUCACCAAGGCAACGAUCCGUAGCUGGUUUGAGAGGACGACCAGCCACACUGGGACUGAGACACGGCCCAGACUCCUACGGGAGGCAGCAGUGGGGAAUUUUGGACAAUGGGGGAAACCCUGAUCCAGCAAUUCUGUGUGCACGAUGAAGUUUUUCGGAAUGUAAAGUGCUUUCAGUUGGGAAGAAGUCAGUGACGGUACCAACAGAAGAAGCGACGGCUAAAUACGUGCCAGCAGCCGCGGUAAUACGUAUGUCGCAAGCGUUAUCCGGAUUUAUUGGGCGUAAAGCGCGUCUAGGCGGCUUAGUAAGUCUGAUGUGAAAAUGCGGGGCUCAACCCCGUAUUGCGUUGGAAACUGCUAAACUAGAGUACUGGAGAGGUAGGCGGAACUACAAGUGUAGAGGUGAAAUUCGUAGAUAUUUGUAGGAAUGCCGAUGGGGAAGCCAGCCUACUGGACAGAUACUGACGCUAAAGCGCGAAAGCGUGGGUAGCAAACAGGAUUAGAUACCCUGGUAGUCCACGCCGUAAACGAUGAUUACUAGGUGUUGGGGGU
rnacentral:rRNA from 1 species